rnacentral:rRNA from 1 species
UGGGGAAUAUUGCACAAUGGGCGCAAGCCUGAUGCAGCCAUGCCGCGUGUAUGAAGAAGGCCUUCGGGUUGUAAAGUACUUUCAGCGGGGAGGAAGGGAGUAAAGUUAAUACCUUUGCUCAUUGACGUUACCCGCAGAAGAAGCACCGGCUAACUCCGUGCCAGCAGCCGCGGUAAUACGUAGGGCGCGAGCGUUGUCCGGAAUUAUUGGGCGUAAAGGGCUUGUAGGCGGCUUGUUGCGCCUGCUGUGAAAACGCGGGGCUUAACUUCGCGCGUGCAGUGGGUACGGGCAGGCUUGAGUGUGGUAGGGGUGACUGGAAUUCCAGGUGUAGCGGUGGAAUGCGCAGAUAUCUGGAGGAACACCGAUGGCGAAGGCAGGUCACUGGGCCAUUACUGACGCUGAGGAGCGAAAGCAUGGGUAGCGAACAGG